GACGAACGCUGGCGGCGUGCUUAACACAUGCAAGUCGAGCGGUAAGGCCUUUCGGGGUACACGAGCGGCGAACGGGUGAGUAACACGUGGGUGAUCUGCCCUGCACUUCGGGAUAAGCCUGGGAAACUGGGUCUAAUACCGGAUAUGACCUCCUAUCGCAUGGUGGGUGGUGGAAAGAUUUAUCGGUGCAGGAUGGGCCCGCGGCCUAUCAGCUUGUUGGUGGGGUAAUGGCCUACCAAGGCGACGACGGGUAGCCGACCUGAGAGGGUGACCGGCCACACUGGGACUGAGACACGGCCCAGACUCCUACGGGAGGCAGCGGUGGGGAAUAUUGCACAAUGGGCGAAAGCCUGAUGCAGCGACGCCGCGUGAGGGAUGACGGCCUUCGGGUUGUAAACCUCUUUCAGCAGGGACGAAGCGCAAGUGACGGUACCUGCAGAAGAAGCACCGGCUAACUACGUG
rnacentral:rRNA from 1 species